GGUGUUUUCUUCACUGGCUCACUGACUGAAUACCUCUUUCCGGCGAAUUAUCUAAUCAGAGACAACAAAGUGCAAAUGUGUGUACGAAUAUGCCUGCCUUUGAACGAGCAGACACAGCCUGUUACAGAAGAGACUUUACACAUCCGACGCAUGUAAGGCGUACCCCACCAACAGCUUAUAGACGCGGAUGACCCGAGGACUGAGGCCCGUCAUUUCCACCAGCUGCUCCUUCAUGAGGGC